UUUAUUGGGCGUAAAGCGAGCGCAGACGGUUGAUUAAGUCUGAUGUGAAAGCCCGGAGCUCAACUCCGGAAAUGGCAUUGGAAACUGGUUAACUUGAGUGCAGUAGAGGUAAGUGGAACUCCAUGUGUAGCGGUGGAAUGCGUAGAUAUAUGGAAGAACACCCAGUGGCGAAGGCGGCUUACUGGACUGUAACUGACGUUGAGGCUCGAAAGUGUGGGUAGCAAACAGGAUUAGAUACCCUGGUAGUCCACACCGUAAACGAUGAACACUAGGUGUUAGGAGGUUUCCGCCUCUUAGUGCCGAAGCUAACGCAUUAAGUGUUCCGCCUGGGGAGUACGACCGCAAGGUUGAAACUCAAAGGAAUUGACGGGGACCCGCACAAGCGGUGGAGCAUGUGGUUUAAUUCGAAGCAACGCGAAGAACCUUACCAGGUCUUGACAUCCUUUGAAGCUUUUAGAGAUAGAAGUGUUCUCUUCGGAGACAAAGUGACAGGUGGUGCAUGGUCGUCGUCAGCUCGUGUCGUGAGAUGUUGGGUUAAGUCCCGCAACGAGCGCAACCCUUAUUGUUAGUUGCCAGCAUUCAGAUGGGCACUCUAGCGAGACUGCCGGUGACAAACCGGAGGAAGGCGGGGACGACGUCAGAUCAUCAUGCCCCUUAUGACCUGGGCUACACACGUGCUACAAUGGCGUAUACAACGAGUUGCCAACCCGCGAGGGUGAGCUAAUCUCUUAAAGUACGUCUCAGUUCGGAUUGUAGUCUGCAACUCGACUACAUGAAGUCGGAAUCGCUAGUAAUCGCGGAUCAGCACGCCGCGGUGAAUACGUUCCCGGGUCUUGUACACACCGCCCGUCACACCAUGGGAGUUUGUAAUGCCCAAAGCCGGUGGCCUAACCUUUUGGAAGGAGCCGUCUAAGGCAGGACAGAUGACUGGGGUGAAGUC
rnacentral:rRNA from 1 species